UACGUAGGGUGCAAGCGUUGUCCGGAAUUAUUGGGCGUAAAGAGCUCGUAGGCGGCUUGUCACGUCGGAUGUGAAAAUCCAGGGCUCAACCCUGGACCUGCAUUCGAUACGGGCAGGCUAGAAUUCGGUAGGGGAGACUGGAAUUCCUGGUGUAGCGGUGAAAUGCGCAGAUAUCAGGAGGAACACCGGUGGCGAAGGCGGGUCUCUGGGCAACAACUGACGCUGAGGAGCGAAAGCGUGGGGAGCGAACAGG
rnacentral:rRNA from 1 species